GACUAUCAACAUAAAAUCAAUGAUUAGUAAAGAAGGCGAGAUAUCUCAGUGUGUGCACUCUUGUAAUAUAAUCUAUAUACAAUGUUUUGGCUUAAACAGUAUCGUUUUUAUUCAAAUAAAUUGAAAUGAAUUGGACAACAGGCCCUCUCUAUAAAUAUGUAUAUCUUUAUGUGAUUUGUUUUUUUAAAGAUGAUUUCAUUCCAAC
rnacentral:lncRNA from 1 species